rnacentral:rRNA from 1 species
UACGUAGGUGGCAAGCGUUAUCCGGAAUUACUGGGCGUAAAGCGCACGCAGGUGGUUGGUUAAGUUUGACGUGAAAGCUCCCGGCUCAACUGGGAGAGGUCGUUGAAGACUGGCCGACUUGAGGCAAUGAGAGGGGUGUAGAAUUCCCGGUGUAGUGGUGGAAUGCGUAGAUAUCGGGGGGAAUGCCAGUGGCGAAAGCGGCACCCUAGCGUUAGCCUGACGCUCAUGUGCGAAAGCGUGGGGAGCGAACGGG